UACAGAGGUCUCAAGCGUUGUCCGGAAUCAUUGGGCGUAAAGAGCGUGUAGGCGGCCUGGUAAGUCCGCUGUGAAAGUCCAGGGCUCAACCCUGGAAUGCCGGUGGAAACUGUCAGGCUCGAGUCCGGAAGAGGCGAGUGGAAUUCCUGGUGUAGCGGUGAAAUGCGCAGAUAUCAGGAGGAACACCAAUGGCGAAGGCAGCUCGCUGGGACGGUACUGACGCUGAGACGCGAAAGCGUGGGGAGCAAACAGG
rnacentral:rRNA from 1 species